rnacentral:tRNA from 1 species
GGAUUGUGGCUCAGCGGUAGAGUGCCUGCCUAGCACAUGCAAGGCCCUGGGUUCAGUCCUCAGCACCA